UCCACAGAAACCAACAGGCCCAACGAGAUGGCAGAAGAAACCCCUUGUAAAGGGGAACCUUCAGCUGCUUUGCAGAGAUGCAGCCAGGCAGUCAAAGAGAAAUUUCACCCCGUGUGGUGCCUGGCAUAUAUGGUCCAAAUAGCACCUGGCACCUCUGCACUCCCUGACUACUGCAGCUGUGGUUUAUGAAUAAGCAGACUUCCUCUGAGGACCUAAGAAGCACUUAUUUCUAAGUGGAUGAAUUAAUUAAUACUCAGGAGGUUCUAGAGUCAUUUAGAAGGUCCUUUCGUGCUUCCUUGGCCUUCACUGUGUUCUGGGUUAUCAAGAUUCAGAGAUAUGGAAGAGCAAGACAAGAAGGAAAAGCCGAAGAAGCCUCAUCUAAUUUGAUAAAAGAGGCAGCCACACAAGAAAAUAAACAAAGCUGCCUUCUGUU